GACGAACGCUGGCGGCGUGCUUAACACAUGCAAGUCGAACGACGUGGCGAACGGGUGAGUAACGCGUAAUCAACCUGCCCUUCAGCGGGGGACACCAGUUGGAAACGACUGCUAAUACCGCAUACUGAAGGAGGGGAUUGCGUCUGAUUAGCUAGUUGGAGGGGUAACGCCCCACCAAGGCGAUGAUCAGUAGCCGGUCUGAGAGGAUGAACGGCCACAGUGGGAAGGAGACACGGCCCAGACUCCUACGGGAGGCAGCAGGGGGGAAUCUUCCGCCAUGGAAGAAAGUCUGACGGAGCAACGCCGCGUGAGUGAUGACGGCCUUCGGGUUGGAAAGCUCUGUUAAUCGGGACGCGGUACCGGAAUAGAAAGCCACGGCUAACUACGUGCCAGCAGCCGCGGUAAUUC
rnacentral:rRNA from 1 species